GCCGCUGGAGAGGGUAGCUUACGCGUGUUUAAAGCAUUCGGUGCAGACUCUGGAAAUAAGGGGUUAAAUCCCCCCCUAAGGCC
rnacentral:tRNA from 1 species